rnacentral:misc_RNA from 1 species
ACUCAUAUCGUUUUAUUUAUGCCUUAACAAAACAAACUCAGAUCAUCCAACAUACACUUAUUGCAGAUCAUGAUAAUGGAAAAGGGUAUUAAAGCUUAAUGCUAGAGUAUAAAGGAUUACUUAACACGACCUGGGACUUUAGUAUCAGAAAAACUGGGCAGAGUAUGUCUUUUAGAUAAGAAAUUGUAUACAAGCAAGCCUUUAGAUGAUUAUAUAAUUUAUCAGCUGAAUAGCCUAUCUCAGAAUCUGAGACAGGUGAUAAAUAUAGAUUAACUUCCAGCCCCUCAGACAGCAAUGCCACUAAAUAGACACUUGCGGAUCUCGGGUAGCUUUUUACGGAACACAACUUCCAAUCUG